CAAUGAAAUUGGGGGUCACCACAACAUAAGGAACUGUAUUCAAUUUUAAGAAGUCAUUACAAUGUAAAUACUCCUUUAUUACCUGCUGACACUUGGGGGCGACUAAUUAGCAUCCAGCUGAGAGCAAGGCCCUGGGAAAGACAGGUGAGAUUUGAAGAGGAGUUGGAUGGAGGGAGGGAUGGGAGAGGUCCUAGGUGAUACUCUGUCUCCUCCUCGGCUCCCCUGUCGGGAGGACUCCAGAGAAACCACUACCAGCCUUAGGCAUGUCUUAAAGCCCCUCCUCACCCUGGGAACCAGGAACCUCACCCUCCACACCCCCGCUCUCAGCCCAGGAUCUUGGCUACACCUGCCAUACCAUAGGCACUGCCCCGCUGGGGAAGGUUUCCUGCCAACGGUUAGCACUUGGAUGUUGGCACCAACCAAUGCAGCUCUACUCCUGAUGUCCCUCCACACCACCCCCAUCUCAGAGCCCUGCCACCCAGAACUUCACCCCCGAUCUGCUACCCAGUUUGUCUCCUGCCUUCUCAGCAGAGGCCGUGUCCUCCUCCUUCAGACUGUACGACCUUUGAGGGUGAGAGCUCUCCUUCCUCCCUGGGUGGUCCUUGGGAGGAGGUUGUGCACUUCCACUGCUGGCACUGAUUCAGGGCAGGGCCCAGUCUUCCCACUCAGAGUGGGGGCUCCCUGGGGGCCUCUCCUGCCUCAGUCUAUCUCUAGACCCUGCUUCAGACCUCUCGGCCCAGAAUGCAGAGGAAGGGAGACACGUGCCCUCAUCCCAGCUCCUCAGGGAUCGAAGAUUGGGGAGGAUCCCAACAAGCCAGCAAAGAAAGGAGAUGAGCAGGUCAGCUUUCAGUGUUGCCAAGAGCUGGCAUGGUGUGAUCCCUCAAUUGGCAAUUAUUGAUAUUGCCUUCUUCUCUGUCUCUCAGGUAAAACCACGUAGGAAGCAAAUGUCAUCUAAAGAAUGGGGUAUUUACCCCAUCCACGUGCUUGUCACCCGAAACACCAAGAGCACCGAGCUAGAAGUUCUUCUCAAAUUACUGGGCGUAAGAGAGGCCAACCAGCCAUCCGUGUUGGUAGAAUGACACUCCUUUCCACCAACCUCUUCCCCUGAGUCUCCUGCACCAAUUCUUGCCCUGGAGUCACCAGGAAAGAAGAAACCCAGAGUCGGGCCUCCUGAUGCAAGGGCUUGAACAUAUUAUAAAAAUUAUAAUUAGAACAUUCUGGAAGACACACCCUGGAAGGGAGCUCAGAUGUGCCAAUGUUUUCACUAUCUUAAAAUCACACGAGCCAAGUGCCAGGCUCAUGAUGCAAGGGUUUUGUGUGAUGGAAAGACGUGGGAGACACUGUUCCUCUGCUAAAGAAACAACCUAGUGAAGGCAGCCGAUGUGUGAAAUCUCACGGUGAACAACACUAGCCCGAGGGCCGAACACCAUGUGCAUUCCAGUUCCUCUCCUUCCCCGCUAUGUGACCUCGCCAAGUCACUUCUCCUUUCAAAUGGGGCUAACAAUAUUCACUCCACAGAGUCGUUAAGGGUUAAACACGAUGAUACCUGUAAAGUGGUUAGUAAAUAGUUUGAUGUGUGGCGAAGGUGAUAGCAGCAAUAGCAGCAGGACCAUGCGAUGGCAUCAGGCUUACAUUCACUUCCACCUACAUCUAAGCAGCAGAGGAAAAGGGCCAAUUAAAACAGUGCUAGAGACUCUGCCUGGGUGUGAAGUGGGAGGUGGGACACCCCAGCGCCUUGGACCUUCUCAGCUUCCCUGGGUGAUCAUCUCACUGAACAGAGAACAUCAUUAACGAUAAAGAAACAUCCCUGUCACACAACACGGCAUCUCACCCCAAGCCAAGUGCCUCAUCUGAGGAAACAGCCAUCCUUCCCAACAACUGAAACACGUGUCUGUGUUAAACUUACCGAGAAAAGGCAUGGCAAUCUCCAAUGGAACAUCUUGAAGGACUUCCAAGGAUACAAAUAGUUCACGCUUAUAUAGGGUUUACUUGGUGUCAGGUAUUGUUCUAAGGGCGUUCUGCAUUUUAAUUCCUUUAACCCUCACACUACAUGGAAGAGGUAAGAACUGUUAUUGUCUCCCCACUUUAUAGAUGUGGGAACUGAGGCACACUGGGGUUAAGUAACCUGCCCAAGAUCACAUAAGUAGUAAAGGCAGAGCCUGGAUUUGAACUCAGACAGUCUAUCGCUAGAUUCAACGGUCUUAAUUGCUAGACUUUAGUACCUAUUUUAAAUAUGCUUAUUUUUAUGUCUCAUGCUACCUUCUUUGUGAGUCAUGACUCAACAGUAGCAGAAGUGGCAGUGGUAGUGGCAGUUGGAGGAGGUGGCAAGAGGGUCAGUCAUGAUCAGAGUUCAAGGGCAUGAAUGGGGACAUUCAACCACUAGAGUGAAGCUGCAAAAGCUGAGGGCUCUAAAUCCAACCUUGAAAUUCAUGAAAGUUCUCCCUUGAUCCUAAAAGUUGAGCUGUCCUUUUCCUUCUGGGUCCAGACGUGAGGAGGUGCCGAACUGCUGAAACAGGGACCGAGGCUGUUCCCCCAUUUCUCACCAGGCAGAGAACAGAUCAAACACUGAAACACCACCAGGUGGGCUCCCUUCCUGGAGAUUAAUUCUUACGUCAAUCCUGGCAGCUCUUCACAGAUUAUAAACCCUUUUAAUCCCAUUUAGUCUCGGGACAGUAGGAUGAUUGGAUUCUGGUUCUGAGCCAGCCCCACGGUCCAACGUUCAUCCCUCUGAAUGACUGAAUGAGAGGUGACUCACUUUGUUUUGGUUUUUCACUGCUGCUCCUGCUCUUCCCCCUGCACCUGUCAGCAGUCAGGGCAAUAGAUGUGGACAAUGACUAAAAACUCAGGACAAAACUCAGCAAGAAGGGGGAGUGAACAGUCCCAGAGUGCCAAUGAGGUGCCAGGCUCUGCUUUAACUCUCUAAAUACCCAGUGCCCGUUUCUGGGCGAGGAAACCAAAGAUUGAAAGAGGUGGAUCUCUCCGAAGUCACACAGAGGCUGAGUUGUGGCUCCAACCGGAGUCAGUUUCCCCACAGCCCGGGACAUGCUGCUGGUUUACAGGUGGUGAGACUCAGGCUGGGAGAAAUCAAGUGACUCGCCCGAGGCUACACUUCUGGUGAGGCGCAAAACCAAGUCUUUUUUUUAUAUAUAUAUAUUUUUACUGAUUUCAGAG